CCCUUAGAUGUCCUGGGCCGCACGCGCGUUACACUGAUGCAUUCAACGAGCUUAUAACCUUGGCCGAGAGGCCUGGGCAAUCUUGUUAACGUGCAUCGUGAUAGGGAUAGAUUUUUGAAAUUAUUAAUCUUGAACGAGGAAUUCCUAGUAAACGCAGAUCAUCAAUCUGCAUUGAUUACGUCCCUGCCCUUUGUACACACCGCCCGUCGCACCUACCGAUUGGAUGGUCCGGUGAAGCCUCGGGAUUGUGGUUCUUGCCGCUUUAUUGUGGCGUGACCGCGAGAACUUGUCUAAACCUUAUCAUCUAGAGGAAGGUGAAGUCGUAACA
rnacentral:rRNA from 1 species